GUGGUUAAGUUACUAAGGGCACACGGUGGAUGCCUUGGCGCUAGGAGCCGAAGAAGGACGCAGCGAACUGCGAUAAGCCUCGGGGAGCGGUAAGCACGCUUUGAUCCGGGGAUCUCCGAAUGGGGCAACCCACCAUCUGUAAUGGGAUGGUAUCCUUCACUGAAUCCAUAGGUGAUGAGAGGGCAUACCCGGUGAACUGAAACAUCUAAGUAGCCGGAGGAAGAGAAAACAAUCGUGAUUCCGUCAGUAGUGGCGAGCGAACGCGGAAGAGCCUAAACCGUCGGGUUUACCCGGCGGGGUUGUGGGGCGUCUCACAUGGAGUUACAAAGGAUGGAUGUAGAUGAACAGUCUGGGAAGGCUGACCAGAGAGCGUGACAGUCGCGUAAUCCAAACAUUCAUCCCUCCGAGACCAACCCCGAGUAGCACGGGACACGUGAAAUCCCGUGUGAAUCUGGCAGGACCAUCUGCUAAGGCUAAAUACUCCCUAGCGACCGAUAGUGAACCAGUACCGUGAGGGAAAGGUGAAAAGCACCCCGGGAGGGGAGUGAAACAGUACCUGAAACCGUGUGCUUACAAAUAGUCGGAGCCCGUUAAAAGGGUGACGGCGUGCCUUUUGUAGAAUGAACCGGCGAGUUACGGUAGCGUGCGAGGUUAAGUCGAAGAGACGGAGCCGCAGCGAAAGCGAGUCUGAACAGGGCGCAAGUACGUUGCCGUAGACCCGAAACCGUGUGAUCUAGCCAUGUCCAGGGUGAAGGUAGGGUAACACCUACUGGAGGCCCGAACCCACGCACGUUGAAAAGUGCGGGGAUGAGGUGUGGCUAGCGGUGAAAUUCCAAUCGAACUCGGAGAUAGCUGGUUCUCCCCGAAAUAGCUUUAGGGCUAGCCUCGG
rnacentral:rRNA from 1 species